CCGGCCGACCAGCCACUUGGCAGGAAGAACGAAGGGAGAGUGCGGGCGUGCCUGGGCUUACCCUCCCCUCUCCUCCGUAUUGAGUCUGGUGGGAAGAGCCUGCCAUUGGGGAUCCCGGCUUCUGAGCCUGGAUUUCAGGCCGGUCGGCUGGAGCCCAGGUUGCUCCAGCCAUAUUUGUUUCAUAUAUGUGGGUACACUGUCACUGUCUUCAGACACAGCAGAAGACAGCAUCAGAUGACUGUUACGCAGCACUCAUCUUCUUCAGUAAUGUCUGUUUGUCAGGCCUGAAAACCUGAUCGUG